GGGUGGUCAGGUGGUCCAAGGGAGUGCUCUCAGUGACACAGCUGAUAGUGGACCGCCUCCAGGGUAUGGAAUAUCUCCCGUAGUGAACCUAGAGCAGGAGAAUUUGAGGAAUAGAUUGACAGAGCUCCAGGUCCAGGAGUAUUUGACUUGAACUCAUGUGCCUAAGGGACAUUUCAGGGGUUAUGAGAAUCUUAUCCAAACUGAAACAACUGCAUUCCUCUUCUGGACCCGCCACCCAUCAGUUUGGUAACUCUUGAUAUACUCCCGUCUAGAUAGCAGAAGUUGGUUGCUGUGCAGCUGCAUUCACUGUGAAAGGACUAUGAUGUCACAUGUUCCCAUGGUGAUGAGAAAUAUAUCUCUGCCUUUCUCCCCAACUCUACUCUUUGAGCUGAGCAGUUCAAAGUUGAUAUUGAGUUCUCAGCUCUCUAUCUAGCAUCUUUGAUGAUGGGCAAUCUCAAUUGUUGCUCCUGCGAAGGAUCUACAGUCAGAAACCCAAAACAAAAACUAUUUUGAAACCAACUGUGUACACCUGGACUGAAAAGUGGGCGAAAAUAUUUCAAGUUUGCAGAAAAGAAUAAUUCAUCCAUCAAAGGAGUCAAUGGAAGAUGCAUCCUAUGAUCCAUUGGUCAUUACACUCUUCCAGAAGAUCAGAGUGGAAGUGAAAUUAAUUUUGUCAAGGCGAGCUUGAGGAUCUUUGACUGAGGAACGAAUGUCACUUUCUUGGUUUCUAUCCACACAAAUUCCAAUGAAAGUCAGACAGUGUCCAUUUGGGACGAUAUACAUAAUCUUCCAGCUUGGAAGAGUGUGGAGUGGUUGCCUCUUGCCAAGCAUUACCUUAUUCGAGAAGAUGUUUAUGUUGGUGACACCAAAGCUGGAAAUAAACAGCAUGAUGGGGUAAAUUCCCUCAGCAACAGUUUCUCGUGAUUGGUUCAGUUUUGUUCAGGAACCAGUCUCUUCCUGUCUUUAGUCAGGAGAACCAAUGUGAUUCUGGGUUCUCACUGGAAUUAGGAUCACGGAUGUAGAGAAAAAAA